AUUGAACGCUGGCGGCAGGCCUAACACAUGCAAGUCGAGCGAGCGGCGGACGGGUGAGUAAUGUAUGGGGAUCUGCCCGAUGGAGGGGGAUAACUACUGGAAACGGUGGAUACUACCGCAUACUAUCGGAUGAACCCACAUGGGAUUAGCUAGUAGGUGGGGUAAAGGCUCACCUAGGCGACGAUCCCUAGCUGGUCUGAGAGGAUGAUCAGCCACACUGGAACGGAGACACGGCCCAGACUCCUACGGGAGGCAGCAGUGGGGAAUAUUGCACAAUGGGCGCAAGCCUGAUGCAGCCAUGCCGCGUGUAUGAAGAAGGCCUUAGGGUUGUAAAGUACUUUCAGCGGGGAGGCGUUACCGACAGAAGAAGCACCGGCUAACUCCGUGCCAGCAGCCGCGGUAAUUC
rnacentral:rRNA from 1 species